rnacentral:snRNA from 1 species
AUCUCUUUGCCGAAUGGCUUAGAUCAAGUGUAGUAUCUGUUCUUUCUAGUUUGAUCGCUAGAACGCCUCUUCAGAGGAGGCAAGAUUUUCAGCCAUCAUUUAAUAUUUGGAACUCGUUGCCCCAUCUACAGGCUUGUCCUAGUCGAUGAUGGCAGCACGGUGUCGCUCGUACUGCACUUUCGCGGGCUGACGCGAAUCUCA